rnacentral:rRNA from 1 species
UACGGGGGGGGUAAGCGCUGUUCGGAAUUACUGGGCGUAAAGGGCUCGUAGGCGGCCAACUAAGUCAGACGUGAAAUCCCUCAGCUUAACUGGGGAACUGCGUCUGAUACUGGAUGGCUUGGAUUCGGGAGAGGAAUGCGGAAUUCCAGGUGUAGCGGUGAAAUGCGUAGAUAUCUGGAGGAACACCGGUGGCGAAGGCGGCAUUCUGGACCGAUAUUGACGCUGAGGAGCGAAAGCCAGGGGAGCAAACGGG